UGGGUCGGUGAGACGGUCGCGUAGCCGCGCAAGCGGCUCCGAGGAACGUCCGGGCUCCGCAGGGGAGAACGGUGGGUAACGCCCACCCGGGGCAACCCGCGAGAAAGUGCAACAGAGAGUAGACCGCCUGGGGGCUUGCCCCUCGGUAAGGCUGAAAGGGUGGGGUAAGAGCCCACCAGCGUUCGUGGUAACACGAGCGGCUAGGUAAACCUCGUUCGGAGCAAGGCCAGACAGAAUGCGUUGACGCGCCCCGCUGAGCAUUCGGGUAGGCCGCUAGAGGGUACUGGUAACAGUGCCGCGAGAUAGAUGACCGUCAGCACCGGCCGCGAGGCCGGCGAGACAGAACCCGGCGUAUGAUCCGGCCCAUUUC
rnacentral:RNase_P_RNA from 1 species